GACGAACGCUGGCGGCGUGCUUAACACAUGCAAGUCGAACGGAAAGGCCCUGCUUUUGUGGGGUGCUCGAGUGGCGAACGGGUGAGUAACACGUGAGUAACCUGCCCUUGACUUUGGGAUAACUUCAGGAAACUGGGGCUAAUACCGGAUAGGAGCUCCUGCUGCAUGGUGGGGGUUGGAAAGUUUCGGCGGUUGGGGAUGGACUCGCGGGUGAUCAGCUUGUUGGUGGGGUAGUGGCUUACCAAGGCUUUGACGGGUAGCCGGCCUGAGAGGGUGACCGGCCACAUUGGGACUGAGAUACGGCCCAGACUCCUACGGGAGGCAGCAGUGGGGAAUAUUGCACCCUGGGCGGAAGCCUGAUGCAGCAACCCCGCGUGCGGGAUGACGGCCUUCGGGUUGUAAACCGCUUUCGCCUGUGACGAAGCGUUAGUGACGGUAAUGGGUAAAGAAGCACCGGCUAACUACGUG
rnacentral:rRNA from 1 species